ensembl:lncRNA LINC02730 long intergenic non-protein coding RNA 2730
GGAAACGGUGUUCCCAGCUGGCUGCCAUGGCAACAGCAGGCUUCGGAGCCAUUCAUCUCGGUCUGGACAGCUUCCCCUACUCGCACUAGCGCUUUGUCUCCCUAAGUGGCUAACUGAGGUGUGAAAGGGUCUGUGAUGAGGAAAUGGAGGCUUCAAGGUCAAACCCCUUGCCCAGAGACAUGCAGCAGAAAGUGAUGAAGCUGAGAUUUGAACUUGCACCUGUCUGCCUGCAAAUCCCAUCUCUUCCUGCUGUGCCAGAGACAGCAGAAGGGCCCACGGCUGUGUAGAUGUGGCCUAUUAGCCUCUCAAGUCUAGAGCAAGCCCCUCAGUGUGGGGCCCCUCCCUAGCCGCACUUCCUGCCACACCUGUCCUUCAAGCAGCCGCCUUUCUUUAGAACCCCACGUCUACUGUGGUGAUCACUCUGCAUAGCUGCUUUAGAAACAUAUGAAGAUAACAGAAGGAUCUCAUCUGCAACCCAGAGCUCUCUGUGCCUGGUGGUGACUCCCAAGAAGCUCCCAUAAGGAAGAGGUCCCUCAAAGAACACACUGAACACAGUGGACCCUCUGCUGCCAAAACAGGCAGGGAAGAAGUCAAGCUGCUCCAGACAUCAGCACUCCACUUCACAAACUCACCACCCAUGCUCUCUCCUGUGGGGACCUCAGCUUUGCACCUGGAUGUGCCAACCUGGCUCCUGCAUUUCCAUACCCCAACACAAGAGUCUCAAUGCAAGGGUUGUAACAUGCCAGCAGUGUCUGUACAAGCAAACGAUGGCACUCGUAGCAUAUGGAGGGCGUGGGGCAGUGGAGCUGUGCCUUCCCCUCUCCUGAGGCCCCUGGGCUUCGAGCAGUCUUCACGCUCCUGAGUUCUUUCUCAGAAUUCCCUCCUAAACCUCUUAGCGAGUAAAUGCUGCUUGCCA